ensembl:lncRNA
GUAUGGGGCUUCUGGGUUCAGAUCUGGGUUUUGGGGUUUAGACAGGGGGUUCAGAUAUGGGGUUUUGGGGUUCAGACGGGGUUUGGGGGUUCGGAUCUGGGUUUGGGGGUUCAGAUAUGGGGCUUGGGGUUCAGAUAUGAGGUUUGGGGGCUCAGAUAUGGGGUUUUAGGUUCAGAUAUGGGGUUUUGGGGGUUCAGAUAUGGGGUUUCUGGGAUCAGAUAUGGGGUUUUGGGGCUCAGAUACGGGGCUGUAGGUUCAGAUAUGGGGUUUGGGGUUCAGAUAUGGGGUUUUGGGGUUCAGAUAUGGGGUUUCUGGGAUCAGAUCUGGGUUUUGGGGUUCAGAUAUGGGGUUUCUGGGAUCGGAUAUCGGUUUUGGGGUUCAGAUAUGGGGUUUGGGGGCUCAGAUAUGGGGUUUCUGGGAUCAGAUCUGGGUUUUGGGGUUCAGAUAUGGGGUUUCUGGGAUCAGAUCUGUGUUUUGGGGUUCAGAUAUGGGGUCUCUGGGAUCGGAUAUCGGUUUUGGGGUUCAGAUAUGGGGUCUCUGGGAUCGGAUAUCGGUUUUGGGGUUCAGAUAUGGGGUCUUGGGGUUCAGGUAUGGGUUUUGGGGUUCAGAUACGGGGCUCUAGGUUCAGAUCUGGGGUUUGGGGUUCAGAUAUGGGGUUUGGGGGCUCAGAUAUGGGGUUUCUGGGAUCAGAUCUGGGUUUUGGGGUUCAGACAUGGGGUCUUGGGGUUCAGGUAUGGGUUUUGGGGUUCAGAUACGGGGCUCUAGGUUCAG